GACGAACGCUGGCGGCGUGCUUAACACAUGCAAGUCGAACGAAGUGGCGAACGGGUGAGUAACGCGUAAUCAACCUGCCCUUCAGAGGGGGACAACAGUUGGAAACGACUGCUAAUACCGCAUACUGAAGGAGGGGAUUGCGUCGGAUUAGCUAGUUGGGGGGGUAACGGCCUACCAAGGCGAUGAUCAGUAGCAGGUCUGAGGGGGUGAACGGCCACAUUGGGACUUGGGAACGGGCCAGACUCCUACGGGGGGCAGCAGUGGGGAAUCUUCCGAAAUGGACGAAAGUCUGACGGAGCAACGCCGGGUGAGUGAUGGCUGCCAUCGGGUUGGAAAGCUCUGUUAAUCGGGACGCGGUACCGGAAUAGAAAGCCACGGCUAACUACGUGCCAGCAGCCGCGGUAAUUC
rnacentral:rRNA from 1 species